rnacentral:lncRNA from 1 species
ACAAGCAGCUUAAUACCGCUACAUUGUCAUUGGUAGUGUUGGGAGAAGACUGGUUUAGCAUUGGAAUUGAACACUGAGCUCAGAUAGCAGAAUGGUUUGCACAAUGCAUGGAAUCUUUUUCUAUUUAGGCAUGUGACAUACAGAGGAACACAGUCAGAGGCUCUGCAGCUGGAGGUCUUGAACUGGCUGGGGAGCUGCACAUGGCCAGCAUAUAAGAAUAGAGAAAGAAUAAGUAAAAUAAGAUAACCUAUCCACCAUAUUUUUUCAUAGUAUCGGAAAGGAUUCUUUGCUGAGGAGUCAACAUGUUUGAGCCUCUACCAGCAGAUCAGUUGGAGCCAGCAGGGUAGUUUCUUUCUGGGGUUCUGGGGUUAUUUAUAUUUCACCAAUUCUGUCUACACUCCGCUGGAGUGAACUUAGAGGUUCAGCAGAGCCCUGGGGAAACUAAGGCUCAAAUUAAAAACACAGCACAGCACCCAUCUCUGGACUUCUCAGUUGGUCUUGGUGAAUGGGCUUUGUGGUCUUUUAGUGUCUGUUUGCAGUGUUUAAUGCUGAGUAUUUGUGCCGUUGUUUGUGGUCCAGUCAUGGAAUUGCAUGGAUUAAGGUGCUCUUUGGAGGAAUUCAAUCAUGUGAGGAUACAUCCAACUGGUCCUUAGGGAUUUUCAUCUGGAAAUCCUACAGCCUCCUCAGAUCUACCUAGUGUUUUAUCUAUAUUUACAAAUUCAUAUUUUUUCUUCUAAGCCUCGUUAUCCUUCCAUCCUCCCUAUUUCAUGGAAGUAAACUACCCUUCUAUCCACUUAGAAUCCCUAUAAUCUAAAUCAGACAAUUAGCAGGUAAUAUGGAUCCUCCUUUAAAAAGACUCACUAGUCUUUCCCUUUGCCCCUGUUCUCCCCAUCAUGCCCUAGCUCAGAGGAGGUCCUCUCUCAACAGUUUCCUGCAGUCCUCUCUCAGGUAACUCCGGUCCAGCCCCACCCAAGCUGUCCAAUAUGCUGUCAAAAUGACCUCCCUCAAACAUAAAGUUGAUCACACCAUUCUUUUCCUGCUUUCAAAUUCCUGGUAGCUUUCCAGUGCUUACUAAAUUACAAAUGGUUAGCAUGAAAUACCCAGGUUUUCACCAAUUCUGUCUACUCUCCACUUCUGGCAUCCUGAUCAUCCGCUCUGCAUCUCAAACCGUACACUCUAGUCUAUGAAGAUGGCUAAAUGGCUACUUCCUCUAAGUGCCUUAGAAUUCCAUCUACAUGCCUGUAUCAACACUGCUUCCUUCUCCUGGAAUGGCCUCUACACCAUCUUCCUUCUGUGCAGAAAUCCCACUCAAGUUUUCCAAAGUUAAUUCAAGUGCCAUCUUCUUUGUCACUUUUCCUCCUCCUUCCUUCUGCAUCCUGCGGCCAGUUUAAUUCCUACUUUCACUGUCCUGGAAAUACAACUCUAUGUGAUGGACUUCAUUCUAGCUAUUUAUUUAUCCUUGUUUAUGAACUUCUCUGAUUUAAGGAUUUUAUCUAUUUUUAAAACUCCAUGUCAAAUAGGGGCUGAGUGUGUAUUUGCUCAGAUUGGGAAACUAGAGGAGCCCUUCAUUCGCUGAGAAGUUUCGACUAAGUGCAACUUCAAAUAGACCCCUGGGCUUACUUCCUCCUUUUGUCACUUGGAAGAGUUUAUUCACAACUCAUUGAAUUCCUACCAGACACUUAGCAAACAAGCAACAAGCUGUUCUCCAGGGUUGUUACAAAUCCAGCCCAAUCUCAGACUUUCCACAGACACAGCAUGGUGCAGUAAUUCUGAGAUUCUGGAAUAAAGAAUCUCUGGUGAGUACAUUGCAUUGCCUUUACUAGGACAAGAAAACAGAGAAAAAAAAUUGAAAGAUUUUCUGAAGGAAGGAUUGAACUCAAAAAGGGCCUGCGGUUAACCAUUUUAACCAGGGAAUUCAGAGAACUAUGACAUUCCUGUCUCCAAAUAUCACUGUGAACUGAAGAUUUAUUAGAUUUGAAAGCAGUAAAUAAUGGGACAUUAUUUCUAGCAGGCUGUAGAGUUACAACUGUGACUUACAUGAGAUUCUAAACUCCAUUUCCUCCACCAAAUCUCCAAGCAUAGUUUGACUACUAUCAUAAUUUAAUUUAGAUAGAGUCUUUAAUUCUUAACGUGAUUUUAACUUAUCUAUGGUUUGUUUUGUUUUGUUUUCCUGGCCUCUACUCAUGAUUUUGAGAAUCUCAUUUCAUGAGAAGUAUACAGCCAUGAUACUUAACUCAUUCGUUGUCUGGUUGAUUUAUUUUUUUUAAGCCUCAAGGAAUAAUUUAUUUGGCAAGGGUAGCAUUAUCAUAUUAGUUAAUCCUAGAUCACCUCAAAAUUAGAAUUUGGGUUUGAGAACAUUCACAUGGCAACAGCUAAAUGUAACUGAAUUGAUUUUGAAUUCUUCCACUGUCCCGCCUCCUUCAGAAGCAUUGUUAGCCAGUAGGGUUUAAUCGGCGCCCACAGGCAAAGCCAUCACAUGUAGGUCCUCCAAGAAGGAACUUGAAUACCAGCCCUGCAGCAGCAACCACGUAGGUCCUGCACAUUCAUGAUCUGCCAGUGUGAUUUUCUUGCACCAACCCACAUUUCCUCCCCCAGCAAGUCCUCUGGGACAGAGAUCUCCCUGGGGUGCACGAGAUUCCAAUGUGGCUGCCACAUGAGUCCCGUACACUGAUUUCAUGAGGAGGGAAAACAGGAGGCAAAACGCUGUGAACCUGAAGUAACUGGGACAUGGGCAAACUUUUCUUCCCUUCAGAGAGUGUUCUUGAUCAUACGUGGUCUUUUGUUAAUUGAUUUGACAAGAACAUAGGUUUGGGAAUCGGGCUGGUGAUCUCCCUUCUGCCACUGGGGAGUGAGCAACCAAGGCAAGUUAGCCUCAGCCUCAAGAACAGGCAUUCCUUCACAACGUGGGUCCCUUUCACCUGGGAUCUCUGUCUUUGAAGAAGCGGUUGGCUUUCCCCCCUCAUUGUGAAUUUUUUCACUCAGAUCACUGAUGAAGAUGCAAGCGCUGAUUUGGGAGUGGAAAUAUGGGCAUUGAGGGCUGAUCCAAGCAGGGUGGUAAUUUCAGGCCUUACCAGGCUGCUCAGGAAUGGUGGCAGUAGGGGGCGCCCAAAGAGGACCAGGCUGCAGAGGAAAAGGGAUCCUGAGACUGCAGCUUUGGUUUGGGUUCAAUAAAUGCUGAAAAUCUACAAUCCCCAUUCAGUCUGCUUUCCCCUCUCCAGAUUGUUCUAGUCUUCUUGGUCUAAAGCUCCCCUCCAAUGAAGGGAGGUAAGGAAAGAGAACCAUGUCUUUCCUCAGGUCUUCAAUAUGCCUCCUCCCAUCUCUCUGCAUGCUGCUCUCCAGGGGACAUAGGCACAGAGGACUUCCUGUCUCUCUAACAUGUGCAGGCAUGAAGCUGGGAUCCAGGACCAAAAGCACCAUGUGUGAAAAACAUAGAUGCUCACACGAUAACCUUCUCUCAUCAUCUUACACCUUGAAAAGAAAAGACAACAGAGGCUUCACUGAGCUGAGGUGGAGCCUCUCAGCCCUUUAGACCUGAUAGGCAAUGACAGAUGGGAUGAAAAUAUCUGAACAGAUCUGCUUUUAUGCUUAGACCCUAUACACAAAGAAAUAUGCAGAGAAUAGCACCAAGGCCCAAACCAUGAUAUUCAGAGCCCCCUCCCAGCUCUGUGACUGUAGGACUGACAGACCCCUCAUACCUUUCUAGGCCUCUAGUAGCUGGAGACUCCUUUUCAUUCUCUGAUUCCCCCACCCACCUGGAGUGGGAACCCCUGGCAGUUCUAAAGCCCCUUUCCCAAAUGGCAACUCAAUAGUUGGGACAGGUACAUGAGUUGAAGUUCUUGAAGUCAAGUUGACUGGUGGUGUCCCAUGUGUGGUGGUUGCCCCAGAAUUGGGGAUUCCUAGAGGCCCUGGACCAGACAGUACCUCACUUCCCUUCCCAGGCCCAUCACUGGUACCCCUCAGGGAACCAUCUGUUGGCCUCAGAUGCCCUGCUAUUGGGAGUGGGUAGGGGAAGGCCCUGGCUGAGGCGGUCCUGCCAUCUUGGCUGCCCUGGAAGUUGUGGAGCUUCUUGCUCACACUGCCCCCACUCCUCCUUCACAGCUACUCUGUUCCUUGGAACCCCCAGCCCAGGCACAAUUCAAAUGCAGAUGAGUCUCAUUUUGCCACUGCCAAGGUUGGAGAGGAGCAGGAAGAGAGUCUGGGUUACCCACAGUCCAGCCUGACAACCCUGUGAAGCUGUCCAUCCUCACAAGUGUAGAGCUGACCUGCAUCCCAAGGCCCCCACCUCUGCCCAGCUGACCAUGCCUCCUCACCCAUGGCCUCCUCGCUUCUUCCAAGGCACUGACUCUGAAAGGCUUUCCUUCCUGUGUGCCUUUCCUCUGCCCUCCCCUCUCCCCACAGCCACCAGGCCUGUUUCUUAAUCCCCUCAAGCUGUGUCACCCCAGGGGUGCCCCAAACAGGAGUCUCCCUAACAUAUGAUGUGUUUCAGCUAAAACUGAGCACUGUGGGAGGAGUCUGAACCCCGGAGGAUGAGUGGUGAAGUGUUGGGUGGCUCCCAGUCUUGAGCUCCUUGGAGGUUCUGUGGGUGGUCCUGUGGGAAUUGACAUUCCUUCUUCCUGCUCCAGGAAGGGAGGGCCCUGGCCCCUGACAGCCGUCUUUGUCUGCCCACUGGCUGGCCGCCCAGCAGGCCACUGGGGCUCCCUUGCCUUUUCGUCUUCCUUUUCCACCCCCUUUAAAGGAUGGGGGAGCACUCCAUAGAUAAGUGCCCCCUUCCUUGGGUGGAGACCAUGGACCUUCCCCCCUGCUGUGAACAGGGCUCACCCCUUUUAGAGCAGGUCCUUCAGUUCCCACACCCCUUGGACCAGUGGUCAAUUGAGACAGAAUCAAAAUUGCCUGGCCAAAAAAAAAAAAAAAAAAAAAAAAAAAAAAAUGGAGGAGACAGCUUAAGACUAUGAUAAUUGUCCACAUUAUCUUCCAUUUUAAAUAUGUAAUACCUCAGUGAUGCUACGGAUAACUGUAUAAUGGUCAGACCAGGAAGCAAGUACCAACUAAGAUGGUGUUUCUAUAGAAUUCUGAACAUCUGACUCUCAUACUCAUCUAAUGCAUGGUGACUGUUGGUGUUUUGUUAACUAGUAAGAUACAAAUGCUAGUGAUUUCUUCCAAAUCACUUCUAGAAGGCAUCUGGAGGCACUGUAAACAAUGAUAGUAUCCAGCUGGUCCAUAUGAUUUGAAGACUUAUAACCACAUUUUGUGGUUUUUCUCUAGAACUGAUGAAAUACGAACCUUGUGAUAAAACUAGAUGGUCCAGUAAUUAAAAACAAACUGUCUUCCAAAAUUACCAUGAAAAACUGAAAAAGACAACAGAUGAUACAGUUUAAGUUUUGAAAAAAGAUACAAAAGAACCAGCUUGAUGAAUGGGGAGAAAAUAGUUAAGGAACGUUUUCAUUGGAAGAGCUAAUUGUGAGGGGGAGCCCCAUGCUACCAGCAGAAGGCAGAGUUUUUGUGGCAUCAGCUCCAUUCAAUUCCAAUCACAAAACACAUUUUCUCACUGUUAAAAGAUGUGAGUCAUCUCCCUGCAGCAUCUGAGUGAGUGCCAGCGCCAGGCCAUAGCAGCACCCUGUUCUCCAGCACAGGGAGGGACACCAUCCAUCAUCCACAGCCAUCAGGUCCUCCCCUGAGCAUUGUUCAGACAGUUGGUGGGGAGGGCCAGGUGGUGUUGAGGGGAGGGAAGGGUGUAACCAUCCAAAGUACAUUUUCCCUGGAGUUCCCGGACCUCAGUGGUUAUCGAAUCUGACUAGGAACCAUGAAGUUGCGGGUUCGAUCCCUGGCCUUGCUCAGUGGGUUAAGGAUCCGGCGUUGCUGUGAGCUGUGGUGUAGGUUGCAGGCAAGGCUCGGAUCCCAUGUUGCUGUGGCUGUGGCGUAGGCCAGCCGCUACAGCUCUGAUUAGAAGCUCCUAGCCUGGGAACCUCCAUAUGCCACGGGAGCAGCCCAAGAAAUAGAAAAAAGACAAAAACAAAACAAAACAAAAUUUAAAAAUUAACCUAUUUGUUCAAAAAGAACAUGCACCCCUAUGUUCAUUGUAGUGCUAUUCACGAUAGCCAGGACAUGGAAAAAACCCAAAUGUCCACUGACAGAUGAAUGGAUUAAGAAGACGUGGUACGGGAGUUCCCGUCGUGGUGCAGUGGUUAACAAAUUCGACUAAGAACCAUGAGGUUGUGGGUUCGGUCCCUGGCCUUGCUCAGUGGGUUAAAGGAUCCAGCGUUGCUGUGAGCUGUGGUGUAGGUUAUAGACGCGGCUUGGAUCCCCCGUUGCUGUGGCUCUGGUGUAGGCUGGUGGCUACAGCUCCGACUGGACCCCUAGCCUGGGAACCUCCAUAUGCCGCAGGAGUGGCCCAAGAAAUGGCAAAAAGACAAAAAAAAAAAAGAAGAUGUGGUACAUACACACAAUGGAAUACUACUCAGUCAUAAAAAAGAACCAAAUAAUGCCAUUUGCAGCAACAUUCAUGGAACUAGAGAUUCUCAUACUAGGUGAGGUAAGUCAGACAGAGAAAGACAAGUACCAAAUCACAUUACUUAUGUGUGGAAUCUAAAAUAUGGCACAAAUGAUCCUAUCUACAAAAUAGGUCAUGGACAUGGAGAGCAGACCUUGUGUUUGCCACGCGGGGAGUGGGGAGAGAAAGGAAUGGACAGAGAGUUUGGGGUUGGUAGAUGCAAACUAUUACAUUUAGAACAGGU